GACGAACGCUGGCGGCGUGCUUAACACAUGCAAGUCGAACGGGGAAGCCCUUCGGGGUGGCUCAGUGGCGAACGGGUGAGUAACACGUGAGCAACCUGCCCCUGGCUCUGGGACAACCACUGGAAACGGUGGCUAAUACCGGAUACGACCCGCCUCGGCAUCGAGUGUGGGUGGAAAGUUUUUCGGCUGGGGAUGGGCUCGCGGCCUAUCAGCUUGUUGGUGAGGUGAAGGCUCACCAAGGCGACGACCGGUAGCCGGCCUGAGAGGGCGACCGGCCACACUGGGACUGAGACACGGCCCAGACUCCUACGGGAGGCAGCAGUGGGGAAUAUUGCACAAUGGGCGAAAGCCUGAUGCAGCGACGCCGCGUGAGGGAUGACGGCCUUCGGGUUGUAAACCUCUUUCAGCUCCGAAGAAGCGAAAGUGACGGUAGGAGCAGAAGAAGCACCGGCUAACUACGUG
rnacentral:rRNA from 1 species